GAUGAAGAACGCAGCGAAAUGCGAUAAGUAAUGUGAAUUGCAGAAUUCAGUGAAUCAUCGAAUCUUUGAACGCACAUUGCGCCCCCUGGUAUUCCGGGGGGCAUGCCUGUUCGAGCGUCAUUUCACCACUCAAGCCUCGCUUGGUAUUGGGCAACGCGGUCCGCCGCGUGCCUCAAAUCGUCCGGCUGGGUCUUCUGUCCCCUAAGCGUUGUGGAAACUAUUCGCUAAAGGGUGUUCGGGAGGCUACGCCGUAAAACAACCCCAUUUCUAAGGUUGACCUCGGAUCAGGUAGGAAUACCCGCUGAACUUAAGCAUAUCAAUAAGCGGAGGA
rnacentral:misc_RNA from 1 species